GAGAGAGAGAGAGAGGACCAAGGAGAGAGUCAAGAAACCCUAAGUCUCUAAAAUCUCAUCAAUUGAAGGCUAAAUUAGUGAAGAAUCGAAUGCAUGAGCUAAGAAUUCAGAUUUUCUAAGUAUCCUUGAUCUCAAGCACGAAGAAGGAAGAAGGUGCAAGUCACUCGAAGGCACAAGCAUCUCAAGAUCGCGGUAAAUCACAUGGUUAAUUGCGGCGCGCUCGGACCGAACACACACAACGUUGACCUUUAUACGCUUCCGGUUCAAGUUGUUUCUUUUGAAUGGGUCGAAACGUCCUUUUGUGUAGUAAAAGUUAAACUAGUUACUAGGAUGAUGGUAGUAGUUUGAAGUUAAACUUUGUUUUGAAUAGUUUGGGUUUAAUGUUUUGGGUGAAAAGCAUAAGGUUUAAAAUUUAACAUCUUUUGUAAAUGUCGUUGAAUGUAUUUUGAUUGAUUUUGUAUAAAAAAAGGGAAUCGUCUUCUUUACGAA